rnacentral:lncRNA from 1 species
ACCUUUCUAAUUUAUUGUUUGUUAUAACUCAAUAACAUUUGCUAAUACCAUCUCCACCAAAAAAAAAAGUAUUUGCUAAUACUAUUUAGGCAGUCAUGAGAUCGAUCGCAUUAGAAGCCUAUAUGCUCAUGCAGGUGGCAGGAUCUCCACAAAUUGCUCCAAAUACAUCUCAGACUCAACCAAUAACUCCUAAUUAUUUCUCAAUA